rnacentral:lncRNA from 1 species
AAGAAUAUCACUUAUUUAUUCCCACAAAUUAACAAGAUUUAUUGCUGGGUCGUAGGAUAGCACUAUUAUAUAUAUAUAUAUCAGGUGAGACCUGAAAAUAACACAGGAAGUUUUAUCCUUGGAUGGCCCAAGGAUAAAACUCUUUCCCUUCUCCUUGAUGAUACGAGUUCAAAUUUGAAAGAAAAGUUGGCUCCCUCAAGCCUAUAAUUCAAGUUCAAAUUGUCAUGCUACGAUGAGAUAUGUCUGAAUUCGAUGGCACCCAUCUUCUCCUUUCAUUAUUUUAGUUGACCUAGAAUAAUCAAAUAGGCAGUGCCACACCAUAUAUGAACUCACUCAUUAUUGUGGUAUAUGAUUUUUGCUCCUUUUCCCAUUAUGUUUUUCCUAUAAAUAGAGAGAGAGCGGAUGAUUUUCUCUGGCAAUAGAGAGAGAGCGGAUGAUUUUCUCUGGCCAUCACACAUGUGGAACAAAGUUUCUUCCUUCUUUCUGCCCUUAAUAGACUUUGAUUUACGCUUUCCCUUACACAUAUACCUCCCCUGUAAUACAGGCAAUUUUAGUGCAUUUUGCUUGUCUCUCAUUUAGUCUCAAUCUCUCAUACUCAGAGUCUCCCUCGCCAAUCUUCUCUUACACUCGCUACUCACACCCCAGGCUUGAUUGCAGGUUAGUUUGUCCCUCGCUCUCUCUCUUUUCAUUUGACAUUCCUGCUUCAAUAUGUAUAUAUCUUUCCUUCUCUGUCUUGUUCUUGCUGUGUCCCUUUGGCCUCAGUAACAUGAUUUCAUGUUAACUAUUCUGGUGAAUGAUGGAGGAGCUACUGGUGUUUAUUCAUGUUUCAGACAACCAUUGAAAAGCUUUGGUUGUGUUUUCCGGUGUUGUCUUGAACCCUAAUCUUUCCUGGCUAAUAUCAUUUAUGUUGUGGAGAUUCGGUUAAUUGUGGUGCUUUCUCGCUUUUACCUCUGUGUUGUUGUGGAAGCACUUCUGGUCUAUUCUCUUUCUUGUCUUUGUAGGCCUAGUUAUAAUCUAUUACUUAAUUCUAAACCAAUCCAACUCUAACUCUUCUAGUCUUGUAGUAUCAUAUAUUUAUUGCCGUCUCAUGAAGUAUAUACCCUUUUCGUACUUUAUUUUAUCGUAGAGUCGAUAGCAGAGUUUUUAAAUCUGGCAAGGUGGUUUGCCCGAUUCAAGACUUGGGUUUUGACCGGGUCAUCGGGUUGCUCAAGUCAAUUCUGAUUUUUUAAAAAAAUCAAAAUGAUAUCGUUUUAGUACAAAAAACAAAAGUCAACGGGCUGCAACCGGGUCUUGUCGGGUCAACCGGGUUGUCGGGUCAACCCGCCGGGUCAUUCCGAGUUUUGAUUUCCUCUAUUUUUUUAACCCGACCCAGUUUCCACCCCGGAUCAACCUGGAUUUCAAAACUAUGGUUGAGAGCAUAUCUUAUCAGAGAAUAGUUAAUUUGAGUUUUUUUUUUGAGAAAUUAUUUUGAACAAUUUCUGAAAUUAUGAGCCAUGCUUAUAUUAGGAUUAAGAGGUAUUUGAGAAUGUGAUAAUUGUUAUUAUUUAAAAUAUAUUUUUGCUUAGAAAUGUAUUAAAAUUAAAUUUUUAUUUAUAUUUUAAAAAUUAUUUUUAAAACCAUCACAUUAAAAUAACUAGAAAACAUAAAAAAAUUAAUUUAAAGUAAAAAAAAAUUAUUUAUUUAUUUUUAAAAUACAAAAACAAACAAAUUAUAAAUCUUUUUCAAGAAGAUCAUUUAAACCCAGCUCGUGCAUUCAUGGUAUUUUAUAUAUAUAUUUAGUUAUUUCAACCAUUUUAUGAUCUACAAGGGCAAAGAAUAAAAGAAUAAGAAACGGAAUCAGUCAGGGUUAGAUCGAUGUCUUGCAAGUUGCCAUCAUUUUGGCCUUCUCCCAAUCUCAUAGUAGAUAGCCAUGGAAACCUUGCGUCUUUCUUUCUUUAUCAUGCUGGUCAUUAUAAAAUUCGUAAGAGCAUAACGAUUCCCGGCGUAACGUGUUGAGCUUUCUAUUUUACUUAAUUUGUCAGAUACUUGGUGUCUAUCCAUUCUUGAUUCUUAUUUUCCUCUUCUUUUGUUGCCUUAUUUUCUGUAAUAAACAUGUAUUAUUUUAGAUCUCGAACAAUUGUUUUUAUUUAUUUGAACAGUAUUGAUGGAUGCAAUUGUCACAUGAGAAUUCUCAAUUGUUAAAUAUGAGAUUAAUUGUGUUAUUUGAGGAAGAAUAUAUAAGGUGAUUGAUUAUUCAUUGAGGAAACAAGAAAAACCACACUAAAAUAAUUCACACCAAGGAACAUGCUUUGUCACUUUUUCCAGCACUAAGAUCCGUGAGUCGAUUGUUUAACCAAAAGAAAUGGAAAAAAAUAUAUAAGAAAGGUGAUUAGGUAGGAUUCUAGCCGAAUGAUCUUGAGUGUUUAGGAAGUGCGCACGCCCUUCUAUGUGUGGUGUCAGCUGAUCUCACCCAGUGACCCCAGAUAAUUAUGCAAGGGGACCCCAAAUGAUUGAGACGGCGAGUAGGUUUUUUUUUUUAAUGUUCGGAAGUAUAAUAAUUAUUUCAUCCAUUACAGUUUGUUUCUAUGUUAUCUAUCUUUGGUUCAUGUUAAAAAAAUAAAGGGAGAAAAGAGAGAGAGAGAUAGAUUUUUCAUAAUCCUAUCAUUUUGAAUGUGAACAGGCACCAUAAAAUGCGAAAUUCAACUCAAAUUACCUUGAUCAUCAAAAUUAGAGAGGGAAAACUGGUUUCUACAGGGACCCUGUGACAUGGUGGUGCUAUAUCUGUACCCUCUAAUGAAGACAAAGGGUUGUUACCUUCUUGGUUCUUUCCUCCCUUGGCUAGGCUUUUAGAUUCACAUGCACAAUUUUUUUUUAAUUCAAAGCUCGAUAAAUAGCUUUUCAUAAUUCUGUCACAACAAAUUUCUGUUGUUGCAUUUUGAAUGUGUUUUGCUAGUCUUAACUUUGCUUUCUCUUGUCUUUUCCUCACGUUCCUUCUCGUGAUUUUCCUUCCUUUUCUCUUUAGUAUAUAAAAUACAAGGGCAGGCAGAGUAGCAAGAUAGGCACAGAAGUACAAUCCUGCAACAGAAGAAAAAAGAUAGAAGAGAAGGAAUCAUUUUACAUAUCUUGAUCCUUUUCCAGCGAAGUUUUUGAAACGAAGUUGAAAAGAGAAGAUGGGUUUCUGGACUCUUUUUGAGGUGGCAUCUUUGCCAAUUAUACAAGUCCUACUUAUCAGCUUCUUUGGAGCUUUGAUGGCAACUGAGUAUUUGAAUCUUCUCCCUAAGGAUGCUAGAAAAUCCUUAAAUAAGGUAAGAAUCAAGAAUUUCAUUGUUUUUGUUAAGGUUGCUCUUUGUUCCCUCUACAACAACGAAAAUUCUUUUUCCCAAUGUAGCUCGUGUUCAUGGUGUUUACACCCUCUCUCAUGUUUGCUAGCCUGGCUAAAACUGUUACUCUCGAAGACAUUAUCUCAUGGUAGGCUAACAGAAAUUUGAGCUCUUCACUUUUGACAUGCUGCCAAAAGGUGUAAUCCUGCACCUUUUGGAACCAAUUUGGUGCAAUUCUUUUAGCUGGAAAAUUGAUUCAUGCUCUGCUUUGGUUGAUCAUUUCCUCAGGUGGUUUAUGCCUGUUAACAUUGGACUCACAUUCUUAAUUGGAGGCAUUCUUGGAUGGAUACUUGUUAAAAUACUGAGACCAAAGCCUUACCUAGAGGGCCUUGUUAUUGCUACAUGUUCAUCAGGUUAGUUGUGGUUGGACUAUUUAACUUGUUGCAUUCAUGCGCGUAGACUGUUGAAACCCUGAUUGUUGUGUACUUUUGGUGCUUGUUAAAAUAGGAAACUUGGGAAAUCUUCUGCUCAUAAUUGUCCCUGCAAUCUGUACUGAGGACGGAAGUCCAUUUGGUGACAGUAGCAUCUGCACCUCCGUUGGACUCUCAUACGCUUCUUUCUCUAUGGCGGUAAUCUUCGAGUUGAAACUCAACAAUGCCAUGAGACCAAGCAUUGGGAAAUCAUGUUUUCUGUAAAAUCUCAUUUCGUUUUGGUUUGCCAAUGCAGCUAGGAGGUUUCUUCAUCUGGACUUAUACAUUCCAUCUAAUACGAACGUCGGCUGCAAAAUUAAAAGCACUUCAAGCAGUAGUAGAGGUCUCAAAAGCACCCAACAAUGAUUUAGACGCUAGCCAGGAAACUCACC